AGCGCGCGUAGGUGGUUUGUUAAGUUGGAUGUGAAAUACCCCGGGCCUCAACCUGGGAACUGCAUCCAAAACUGGCAAGCUAGAGUAUGGUAGAGGGUGGUGGAAUUUCCUGUGUAGCGGUGAAAUGCGUAGAUAUAGGAAGGAACACCAGUGGCGAAGGCGACCACCUGGACUGAUACUGACACUGAGGUGCGAAAGCGUGGGGAGCAAACAGGAUUAGAUACCCGUGU
rnacentral:rRNA from 1 species